rnacentral:rRNA from 1 species
UCAAGCUAAAAAGGGCGCAAGGUGAAUGCCUUGGCACUGGGAGCCGAUGAAAGACGUGGUAAGCUGCGAAAAGCUUCGGGGAGGAGCAAACAUCCAUUGAUCCGGAGAUAUCUGAAUGGGGCAACCCAAUGGAGUUCAUACUCCAUUAUCCAAUAUUGAAUCCAUAGGUAUUGGAAGGGAACCGCCUGAACUGAAACAUCUAAGUAGGGCGAGGAAGAGACAUCAAACGAGAUUCCGUAAGUAGUGGCGAGCGAACGCGGAAGAGGGCAAACCGAGAGUAGAAAUACUUUCGGGGUACGGACUGCUUUUAGGACUUAAUCUGUUAACCGAACGGCAUGGGAAGGCCGGUCAGAGAGUGUGAGAACCACGUAGGUGAAAACGGAGAGAGCUGCGCAGGAUCCAGAGUACGGCCAGACACGUGAAACCUGGUCGGAAUACGGGGGGACCACCCUCCAACCCUAAAUACUACCCAGUGACCGAUAGCGUAUAGUACUGUGAAGGAAAGGUGAAAAGGACCCCGGGAGGGGAGUGAAAGAGAACCUGAAACCUUGUGCCUACAAGCACAUAGAGCCCGUCAAAGGGUGAUAUGGUACUUUUUGUAGAACGGUCCGGCGAGCGAUUGUACGUUGCAAGCUUAAGGUCUUAAGGACUGGAGGCGUAGCGAGAGCGAGUCUAAACAGGGCGUUUAGUAGCGUGCAAUGGGCCCGAAACCGGGUGACCUACCCAUGAUCAGGCUGAAGUGAAAGUAAAAUUUCAUGGAGGGCCGAACCGACCUCCGUUGAAAAGGCGGCGGAUGAAUUGUGGGUAGCGGAGAAAUUCCAAUCGAACUCGGAGAUAGCUGGUUCUCCCCGAAAUAGCUUUAGGGCUAGCCUCAUGUUAGAUAUCCGGAGGUAAAGCACUGAAUGGCCUAGCGUCCGAGAGGAUAGCGAAGCCUAUCAAACUAAGAAUGCCGGAAUAUUGAUGCAUGGGAGUCAGACAGUGUGAGAUAAAUCUCAUUGUCAAAAGGGAAACAGCCCAGAUCUACAGCUAAGGUCCCAAAUUGUAUCUAAGUGGAAAACGAUGUGGAAAUACGCAGACAACCAGGAUGUUGGCUCAGAAGCAGCCACUCAUUUAAAGAGUGCGUAAUAGCUCACUGGUCGAGCGUCUCUGCGCGGAAAAUUUAACGGGGCUAAGAUACAAACCGAAGCUUAGGCUGCAUACGGAAGUAUGCGGGGUAGGGGAGCGUUGUGUAAGCGGAGAAACAGUAGCGUAAGCGGCUGUGGAGUUUACAGAAGUGAGAAUGCCGGAAUGAGUAGCGCGAAUGAUGUGAGAAUCAUCAUGGCCGGAAACCUCAGGUUUUUGGAGGAAGGUUCGUCCGCUCCAAGUUAGGCGGGAGCUAAGGUGAGGCCGAAAGGCGUAGCCGAUGCACAGACGGUAGAGAUUCCGUCCCCACCGAAAGAUUUAAGCGCAGGGACACUUUUAGAAGGUCGGAGCCAGGUGUUGGUUCUGGUAGAGAUCGAGGGAAGAUUAGUACCGAAGUCCGGCUGGAUAAGAGGCGAGAAAAGCUGCGUGUAUAUCUAAGGUGCCCGUACCGCAAACCGACACAGGUAGGUAGGAAGAAGAUUCUAAGGCCAACGGGAGAAGGGUUGUUAAGGAACUCGGCAAAUUGACCCCGUAACUUCGGGAGAAGGGGUGCUCCAGAGAUGGAGCCGCAGAGAAUCGGCCCAAGCAACUGUUUACCAAAAACACAGGUUUGUGCUAAAUCGAAAGAUGACGUAUACGAGCUGACGCCUGCCCGGUGCUGGAAGGUUAAAAGGAGAUGUGCAAGCAUUGAAUUGAAGCCCCAGUGAACGGCGGCCGUAACUAUAACGGUCCUAAGGUAGCGAAAUUCCUUGUCAGGUAAGUUCUG